GACGAACGCUGGCGGCGUGCUUAACACAUGCAAGUCGAACGGAAAGGCCUCUUUCGGGGGUACUCGAGUGGCGAACGGGUGAGUAACACGUGAGUAACCUGCCCUUGACUUUGGGAUAACUUCAGGAAACUGGGGCUAAUACCGGAUAGGAGCUCCUGCUGCAUGGUGGGGGUUGGAAAGUUUCGGCGGUUGGGGAUGGACUCGCGGCUUAUCAGCUUGUUGGUGGGGUAGUGGCUUACCAAGGCUUUGACGGGUAGCCGGCCUGAGAGGGUGACCGGCCACAUUGGGACUGAGAUACGGCCCAGACUCCUACGGGAGGCAGCAGUGGGGAAUAUUGCACAAUGGGUGGACGCCUGAUGCAGCAACGCCGUGUGCGGGAUGACGGCCUUCGGGUUGUAAACCGCUUUCGCUCAUGACGAAGCUUUGUGUGACGGUAGUGGGUAAAGAAGCACCGGCUAACUACGUG
rnacentral:rRNA from 1 species